GUGAGGAAUAUUGGUCAAUGGGCGGGAGCCUGAACCAGCCAAGUCGCGUGAAGGAAGAAGGAUCUAUGGUUCGUAAACUUCUUUUGCAGGGGAAUAAAGUGCAGGACGUGUCCUGUUUUGUAUGUACCCUGAGAAUAAGGAUCGGCUAACUCCGUGCCAGCAGCCGCGGUAAUACGGAGGAUCCGAGCGUUAUCCGGAUUUAUUGGGUUUAAAGGGUGCGUAGGUGGUUUGAUAAGUCAGCGGUGAAAGUUUGCAGCUUAACUGUAAAAAUGCCGUUGAAACUGUCGGACUUGAGUGUAAAUGAGGUAGGCGGAAUGCGUGGUGUAGCGGUGAAAUGCAUAGAUAUCACGCAGAACUCCGAUUGCGAAGGCAGCUUACUAAGCUACAACUGACACUGAAGCACGAAAGCGUGGGGAUCAAACAGGAUUAGAAACUCGGGUAGUCC
rnacentral:rRNA from 1 species